UCAGUUAAAGCUAUGUUAGCAACCAUGUGUGGUGGAAAAAUGCUGGACAAAUUGAGAUAUGUUUUCUCCCAGAUGUCAGAUUCCAAUGGCUUAAUGAUAUUUAGCAAGUUUGACCAGUUUCUGAAGGAAGUUCUGAAGCUCCCAACAGCUGUCUUUGAAGGGCCAUCUUUUGGUUACACAGAGCACUCAGUCCGCACCUGUUUUCCACAGCAGGACGCAUUGAGAAGUACUCAAUAUCACUUCUCCGGUAACUCCUGCCAAGAAAGCAUAACCUGAAUCUCAUCCCAAGGAAACAUCAGACAAACUCCAAUGAAGGAAUUUCUACAACCUAACUGAACUUUACACUUCAAAAGUGUCAAUAAUAUGAAAGAUUAAAAAAGAUGAAAUGUUCUAGGUUAAAAGAGUUUAAAGAGACAUGAAAAGCUGAAUGAACUCACAAGCCAGGAUUUUCUGUUGCUAUAACGGACGUUAUUGGGACAAUUGGAAAAAUCUGAAUAAAGUUUAUAGACUGGA
rnacentral:lncRNA from 10 species